rnacentral:rRNA from 1 species
GACGAACGCUGGCGGCGUGCUUAACACAUGCAAGUCGAACGGAAAGGCCCUGCUUUUGUGGGGUGCUCGAGUUGCGAACGGGUGAGUAACACGUGAGUAACCUGCCCGUGACUUUGGGAUAACGUCAGGAAACUGGGGCUAAUACCGGAUAGGAGCUCCUGCUGCAUGGGGGGGGUUGGGAAGUUUCGGAGGUUGGGGAUGGGCUCGCGGCUUAUCAGCCGGCGGGUGGGGUAGUGGCUUAGCAAGGCGGCGACGGGUAGCCGGCCUGGGAGGGUGACCGGCCACAUUGGGACUGGGACACGGCGCAGACUGCUACGGGGGGCAGCAGUGGGGAAGAUUGCCCCAUGGGCGGGAGCCUGAUGCAGCGACGCCGCGUGGGGGAUGACGGCCUUCGGGUUGUAAACGCCUGUCGACCGCGAGGAAGCCACCUGGUUGGAAGGGUGGUGACGGUAGUGGUAGAAGAAGCACCGGCUAACUACGUG